rnacentral:tRNA from 1 species
ACCUGGAUGGCUCCGUGGUUGAGCGCCUGCCUUUGGCUCAGGUCGUGAUCCCAGGGUCCUGGGAUCAAGUCCCACUUCAGGCU